rnacentral:misc_RNA from 1 species
GUAUAUAUUUAUAGGCACAAAAGGCCCAUCCUGUUACAUUCUGAAACAUACAUAGGGGUAUAUGAAGAAACAUAGGCCUGGAAAUGUAAGGAGAGACAUGAAGUCAAUUCCUCAAACCUGAAAUGCAAGUGCAUUCAGAAAGAUUAUCCAGGUCUACAAAAAGUGCACAGGUGGAGAUAUAAAGAUGACAAGCGUGCACAUGCUCCCUAGAGAACCAGCAACAACCCAUCAGGUUUAUUUCAAUAAUGAUCCUUCCGCAGGUUCACCUACGGAAA